rnacentral:rRNA from 1 species
UACGUAGGGGGCAAGCGUUGUCCGGGAUCAUUGGGCGUAAAGCGCGUGUAGGCGGCUUGUUGCGUCAGCUGUGAAAACCCGCAGCUCAACUGUGGGCUUGCAGCUGAUACGGGCAGGCUUGAGUUCGGUAGGGGAGACUGGAAUUCCUGGUGUAGCGGUGAAAUGCGCAGAUAUCAGGAAGAACACCCGUGGCUAAGGCGGCUCUCUAGUACGGUACUGACGCUGAGACGCGAAAGCCAGGGGAGCGAAUGGG